CUCGGGUUGCACGUAAAGCGUGCCGUUUAUGUCGCUGCAGAGAUUGCCGUUUCGUCAUCGGAAGCAACCAUCAAAACGAUGACGUAGUUUACAAAAAUAGCUUUCAUUUGAUAUGCAACACAUGGUUUUCCGAUACAGAGAAGUUGGAUAAUUUUUGGCUGGAAGCUUAUUUCGAGAAGUAAGACCCCAGUUUUUGCUGAAGGUAUACAGUAACAACCAGACACCAUGCCACCAAAAAAGAAACAACGAAAAAAACUUCCAUUGCCAAAACAAUUUGGAAAGAAACGGCAGUAUCUCGCUGACAACUUUAAUGCCUUACCAGAUGACCCAACAGACUUGAAAAAUGGACAUGUUUUGUUACUUUACAUUACAAAAGAAAAGUCUCCAACCCAAACAAUAACAGCAAUCAGGGAGAAAUAUUCAUGCAAAUGUGUUAAAGUCCAGCUGCAAUCCCUUCUGAAUCGGGAAUCAAAGUUUUCAAGAACAAGCAAUGCGGAGACCGUCAUGAAGAGAUAUGAAACCUGUUGUGAAGAGACAUUUGAAGUAAAGGAACAAGAUGAUCCCAAUGCCCCUGGACAGUCUUCAAAUGAGCAAGCAGCAGAACAAGAGACAGCUGGAUCUCCAGAGCCUCAACAGAUGAUGGAAAGCACUGCAACCAGACAAUCUUUAGUGACUCCAGUCUCAUCUCUACCCACACAAUCUGUGGACUCAUCUUCUCCUAUUCGUUCUUCAAGAAGAAAAGCACCCCAAACCCCAAACAAAAUCUUUAUGAAAAAAAGAUUGGACUUUGUAACAAAAUCUAAAGUUGAAAUGAAUACAACAGUAUAAACGAAAAGUGUCAAAACUGAGAUCGAACAUAAAUUUCCAGAAGAUACAUGAAGUCAAAUAUCUAAACCAAUAUGUGAUGCGCCAGAAAACGAUGCUCGCUAAAAGGAAUGCAACAAUAGCAUUGCUCCGGUCUCAGUUAGCUAGCACAAUUGUAGGGGAAGAACUAAACAAAAUGAAAAAAAAGCAAAAAAUGCAACAAGAAACCAGAAGCGAGCUGUAAAGCAAAUGUCUAAUGCUUCAAAUAAACCAGAAACCAAAAGGAAUGCAAAGGUCAGUGACUUGAAAAAUGAGCUAUGUGAAAAGAAGACAACUAUUCAGCAACUGGAAGAUGAAAAUUGCAGAUUGAAGGAGACAAUCCAAUCAUAUGAAAAUGAACCGACAAGUUCUUCAGACUUUAUAAAAGAGGGGAAAAAGUACCCUAAUACAAUUAGGAUGUUUGUUUACGACUCUCUUGUGAACAAUGUGCCAACACAGAAUGUUCCAAAUCUAAUCAAACAGUUCGGCAAGAGAACAGGGAUAACAAUUAAUCAUGUUCCACACAGAAACACAGUAGAACUUACGUGUAGAAGAGAUAGGUGUUAUCUCGGACAUAAUGAGUGCCGAGUUGCUUGUUAACGAAGACAACCUGACAAUUGCUUUUGAUGCAACAACACAGGAAGGAACCCACGUCAAUAGUAUUCAUGUUACCAGCAAGGACAAAUGCUAUGUCUUGGCAGUAGAUGAGUUACCUGGAGGGACUACUGAAGAUUACAGCAUGCAUGUAAAUGACACUAUAGACUCAUUAAAGGGAUAGUCCACCCCAGAAAUUUCUUUAUACUGUCGAAAUCUCCAUAAAAUUUCAUGUAAGAUGAUUUCAUUUAUUUUUUAGAAAAGACAGGAUUUAGCUGUAGAAUCACAGUUGAAACAUACGCAUUCUCCCU
rnacentral:lncRNA from 1 species